rnacentral:rRNA from 1 species
UACGUAGGGUGCGAGCGUUGUCCGGAAUUAUUGGGCGUAAAGAGCUUGUAGGCGGUCUGUCGCGUCUGCUGUGAAAAUCCGGGGCUCAACCCCGGACUUGCAGUGGGGUACGGGGCAGACUAGAGUCUGGUAGGGGGAUCUGGAAUUCCUGGUGUAGCGGUGGAAUGCGCAGAUAUCAGGAGGAACACCGGUGGCGAAGGCGGGAUCCUGGGCCAGUACUGACGCUGAGGAG